rnacentral:tRNA from 1 species
GGAGGAGUCGUAUAGUGGUCUAUUACACGAGUUUGGAGAACUCGGACUCGCAAGGGUCUCGUGGGUUCGAAUCCCACCUCCUCCGCCA